rnacentral:rRNA from 1 species
GCACAAGCGGUGGAGCAUGUGGUUUAAUUUCGAAGCAACGCGAAGAACCUUACAGGUCUUGACACCCGAUGCUAUUUCUAGAGAUAGAAAGUUACUUCGGUACAUCGGUGACAGGUGGUGCAUGGUUGUCGUUCAGCUCGUGUCGUGAGAUGUUGGGUUAAGUCCCGCAACGAGCGCAACCCCUAUUGUUAGUUGCCAUCAUUCAGUUGGGCACUCUAGCGAGACUGCCGGUAAUAAACCGGAGAAGUGGGGAUGACGUCAAAUCAUCAUGCCCCUUAUGACCUGGGCUACACACGUGCUACAAUGGUUGGUACAACGAGUUGCGAGUCGGUGACGGCGAGCUAAUCUCUUAAAGCCAAUCUCAGUUCGGAUUGUAGGCUGCAACUCGCCUACAUGAAGUCGGAAUCGCUAGUAAUCGCGGAUCAGCACGCCGCGGUGAAUACGUUCCCGGGCCUU